GGACUGAAGGCGACGGACACACAAACCCUAGAGGGAACUUGGAACCCGGAUAACAGUGUCCCCUUCAUCCCACGCACCGCCCCGGCACACCACCAGUCCACAUGAACGCAGCUGAAAGAAACAAUCCCAAGGACACUGCAUAGAGAUUAUGAAUAACCGGGCUCUACGGACACCACUAACGAUAAGAAUGUUUAUUUACCUGUUUAUAUGUUACUAAGCAUAGCGCAGCUCAAAUUAGGGCAUGAGCGAUAGAGAC